GACUUACUGGACUCCGACCACCGCUGACAGACAGAAAUGGAGCAGUAUACUCUCAUCAAAUCCUGACAACAGCUUGGCAAGCAAAAUUCAACGGGUCAAACUGUCACAUCCCGACCACGCGCCCGACCAACGGAGCUUAGUACCUAAUGGGCGGAACCGCUUACACCUGGAGAGGCGACAUUAAAAGGAUUCACCCCACACUCCCCGACGCCAGAUAUUUAUGACGUAAUUAAUGCAUCCCAGGGCCGGAAGCCCACACCAGAGCCACCAUCAGUGGAGGACAGCGGAGAGGGAGAGGUGCCUCCCCCUCCUGCUGAGAAACCCCGGACAGGUGCAGCGCGUCCUCAAGCCGCUCCUGCCAGCACGGAGGCAACGGCGGCUAAUGAGAGAAGCGGACUUAGCGGCGAGCUGCGGCCACUCACUGGCUAUCGAGGACUCGCGACCCCAGCUGUGUCCUCCGCUUCGAGCACGAGCAGCAGAGGCAGCAGGCAGAGGGUACUCUGCAUGAGCGUGAGGAGGCAUGCCACGGAUGGGAGACCUGGCCUCGUGAGAACCAGCCUGGCGAUCAACAACCGUCCUCCCACAAAGUCAACAUUGCACGUUGUCAGUGUUGAAAUGGAGCUGGAAAUUUUUGCCAAUGUGCUAUUAAGAAUGUAUGUUUGUAUUUGCAUAUUCUUGACACAGAAAACUGUUUAAAACUGUUCAUUUCCUUUAUCUGUAUGGAUUUUCCUAUAAUUCAGUAUUAGGGCCACAUUGAGGACAAAAAAAUAGAGAUUGUGGGAAUAAAGUCAUAAUUUUAUUUUUAAAUGUUAUUUUAAAGGGGAGAUAUUACAGUUGGCAGUUUCAGGACUGAAGUAUAGAGGCAGGAACAAACCAGUCAAUGAUAGCAGAAUACAUGGCGUUUAUCUUAUGAUGUCAAUGAUUUUAAUUGGCUACAUUAUUAUUAUUUUAAUGUUUAAAUAUGUAUAAAAUGUAUAAAAUGAUUUCAGUUUGUGUAUCAGCACUUUUUGAACAUUUUAACCUCAUAUUAGGGACAUGGCAAUAAAACUGAUAACCAUGA